AAAAAUGCCUCCAUGAGAUCCAGCUGUAAGGCAUUUUCUCAAUUAGUGAUCAAUGGAGGAGGGACGAGCCCAUUGUGGGUGGGGCCAUCCCUGGCCUGGUGGUCCUG
rnacentral:miRNA from 1 species